UGGGGAAUAUUGCACAAUGGGCGCAAGCCUGAUGCAGCGACGCCGCGUGAGGGAUGACGGCCUUCGGGUUGUAUACCUCUUUCAGCACAGACGAAGCGCAAGUGACGGUAUGUGCAGAAGAAGGACCGGCCAACUACGUGCCAGCAGCCGCGGUAAUACGUAGGGUCCGAGCGUUGUCCGGAAUUACUGGGCGUAAAGAGCUCGUAGGUGGUUUGUCGCGUUGUUCGUGAAACUCACAGCUUAACUGUGGGCGUGCGGGCGAUACGGGCGAGACUUGAGUACUGCAGGGGAGACUGGAAUUCCUGGUGUAGCGGUGGAAUGCGCAGAUAUCAGGAGGAACACCGGUGGCGAAGGCGGGUCUCUGGGCAGUAACUGACGCUGAGGAGCGAAAGCGUGGGGAGCGAACAGGAUUAGAUACCCUGGUAGUCCACGCCGUAAACGGUGGGUACGUAGGUGUGGGGUUUCCUUCCGUUCGGGAUCCGUGCCGUAGCUAGCGC
rnacentral:rRNA from 1 species